UAUUAUGAUGUAGCAGCUGGUGACUGCUGUAAAUUGUAUGACAGUCCUUGAUUGGACCAAUGAUUGGCAUCUUAAAUGGUGGAUUGCACCAACCAGAAUGCAAUGAAGAAUUAAACUCUCUCUACUGUCUUUUGUGCAUUUCUCUCCCUCUCUACAUUCUUCUCCCCUUCCCUUUUGUUCUCUUAAUCUCUCCCUCUCGCUCUUCUAACUCAGCCAUAGUGAACCAUAAUGAGUCAGGCUUCUAACAAGAAGUUGAAUCAUAACCCUUUACAUGAAGAACGCAAAGUCUCCAAAUUGCACAAGUGAAAGUCUUGCCAUGAAAACUAGAAUAAUGUUAAGAUGAGUAAAAGGUACUUGUAUGUAUAUACACUUGAAGAGUCCAAGGUUGAAACUAUUAUUAAAAUGAGGAGAAACAUUAAAAGGCUUAGGGAUGUAGAGCAAAGAAAGCAUAACAUCUAAUACUUGAUCAUUUAAAUUCUUGAAAAACAGGAAAUUCUAAGAGUUGUCCAUUGUGUUGGUUGAUGAAGUGCCACCUCUCGAGGAACAACCACAUUAAGGACCCUUUCUCUUUCCUCUCUAUCUCUCUAAAAUUCUCUCUAGCUUUUGCGACUGUAUCCAACCAACCAAGACCACCAUUUCUUCUUCUUCUUCUUGUCUCCUAUUGUUUUCAACGAACAUAAAUAACUGUGCUAACGCUUUAAACAUUUUUCGGCUGACCGAACUCUUAUCCUGUCCCCAUAAUGUCUUCAACUAGUGCCAAAAGAUUUGUACUUAUUGGGAGAAAAUCCUUCAAUAUUGUCUGUGAUGGAAAGAACCUAGACGGACUGAGAAUCUACGAGAAUGGAAGAGGCAACAGAUUCUCCAUUGCGCUCAACAAAAAAAAGUCGAUUGGAUAGUUGAAGGUUUGAGCGAUUUUUACUGGAACAAAGGCGGAAAAACCUGGGGAAGAAACAUAAAAAGUGAGAAUCAACAUCUCUUUAUUGCCAUGGUCUGGAACGAACGAGGCCGAAAUCUUGUCCUCUCGGAAGAAAAUGAAAAAUCAGUUAAGAGAAUCUUCUUUCCUGAUGGUUUUGAGGUUGGGGGCUGGUGGAAAAUCAUGAAAGCUAUUUUCGAGCUUACCGAAACUCCCCUACAAAACCCUUUCACAGCUCCCACAAACACUAAAAAGCCUCCUUCAUGUUUCCAGUAGCCACCAGUAGAUGCAUCUUAUAGAUUUCUUUAUGCUGUCCUACCUGCAAAAGCAGUUUCAGCAUUCUUUUUGCAAUGGUUGGCAAGAAAUCAUACGCAGAACUGUUGAAAACCAAUAUAGUCUGCCUUAGUCGGGCGAAGGAGAAAGUACCUGACCCGUAUAUGAAAAACUCGAUUUUUGAAAUUCAAAUUAUAAACCACCGGGCAGGAAUGCUUCCAAAACAAUUCCGGUCCAAACUAUAGUUUAGAAGCCCAAAUACUCAUCACCUUCAGAUAGGAAAGCAAACAAUCCAGGACUCAAAUACACUUAAGCGGGCCUAAGCUUAGUCCCAAACAAGAAGAGCAGCCCAAUCAAGAAAGCGCUGAAGGUAAAUUGGGUUUGGAGAAAAAAGAAAAAAUCCACGAACUCAAACCUGCACACAUGUCCAAACCUGCUGGAAGAAACUCUGCAAUUCUCGAGCAGAGAAAAUGAAGAAGAAAAUGCAGCAACCUAGAACCCUAAACAGACGCCUUCCUGCGAUUCAUCUGAGUUUCAAAAAGGAAUUGGGAGGCCUGAAUGUGAUCUUGCCUUGACUGUGUUUCUCUCAAACAGAUGGCAAAAUGAAAUGUCAUCAAUCCCUAACCCAGGUAUGAAUUUAGAUGAAGUUUCUCAAUUAGGAUUGAUGAUACAUGCACAAGGACCGAACAUAGGGAUGGAAAUGGUGAUACAUGCUUAAGAACAAACGCCGAUCGGAGAAAACAUUCUUCAGAAUGAUAAAAUCAGGCACAUUGAAAAAAUUAUAGCCUCUCUUCACAAGCUGUUAAAUGACAACAAAAGAUAUGACCCUAUACUAUUUUCUGAAUGGAUUGCACAGAAUAUUCUAUGCAUCAGUGAAGAGUUAGGUACUUUUUUCUUUGGUUAUGAAUUGAAAACACAACCUAUUUUUUGACUUACAAAUGAAAAUAGAAGGAAGAAAUUCUGAGCCUUUCUUAUUGCAAUCGGGAAAGAAGAAACAGAACGAAAAUAUGUCAAAAGAAUUAAAGAGACUCCAUUCCUCCAUAAACUAUGAUGGACACAACAAGAAGACCAGGGCAUCAGGUGAUGAAACCAAAAUUAUCAAAUGAUAGAAAAAAUCCUAUCUUGAAAUGUUAGAGGUUUAAAUGACCAGAGAAAGAGAAGUAUCAUUAGAGGCUGUCUUAACAGAUGAAAACCUUCAAUUGUUUGCCUCUAAGAAACAAAAAUGGAAAUGAUCAUUGAGAAGAUAAUUAAAAGCAUUUGGCGAAUGGACGAGGUGCGAUGGCAGUUUCUCCCUGCCAAAGGGUCUGCUGGUGGGAUCUUAAUUAUGCGGAGAAAAGAUCACGCUCUAUGCUACAACUUCCUUUCAGGGGUAAUAAUGAUGAAAGGACAAAACCUGGUGAAGAAUUAUCUGCUAUCAGAAACUUAUGGGGCAAUAGAGGUGUUGUCGAAGGUGAUUUCAAUAUGGUUUUAAGAAGUUCUGAAAGGACAGGCAGAACUAUGUCUUCAAAAUCUGAUAUAGAGGAAUUUCAAAAGUUGAUUGACAAUUUGGAUAUCAAUGAUCUUCCAUUAAAAGGGGGCAGGUGAUCUUGGAGCAAUCAAAGGGAACAUCCAUUUUAUUCAAGAAUUGACAGAUUUCUGGUUUCAUCCGACUUGCUUCUUGAACUAGUUUGGAUCAAUCAAAAUGUGCUCUCUAGACCUACUUCAGAUCAUUUCCCAAUCAUGCUCUCCUUUAACGGAAUCAAAUGGGGUCCUAUUCUAUUCAGGCUUGAUAAUAAAUGGCUGGGUAAUGACAGCUUCAAAUCCCUAGUGAUAAAUGUCCGGACUCAUACUCAUAUUUCUGGCACCAUCAGCUUUAGGAUUGCUCAAAAAUUAAAAAGACUUAAAAUGGAAAUCAAAAGUUGGGCAAAAAAUGCAAGCAUAAUGGAAGAGGAAAACAUCAACGACAUCCUAUUGGAGAUUGAUUUUCUUGACAGAAAA